GACGAACGCUGGCGGCGUGCUUAACACAUGCCAGUCGUACGGUAAGGCCCUUUCGGGGGUCCACGAGUGGCGAACGGGUGAGUAACACGUGAGUAACCUGCCCACAACUUUGGGAUAACGCUAGGAAACUGGUGCUAAUACUGGAUAUGUGCUCCUGCUGCAUGGUGGGGGUUGGAAAGCUCCGGCGGUUGUGGAUGGACUCGCGGUCUAUCAGCUUGUUGGUGGGGUAGUGGCCUACCAAGGCGGCGACGGGUAGCCGGCCUGAGAGGGUGACCGGCCACAUUGGGACUGAGAUACGGCCCAGACUCCUACGGGAGGCAGCAGUGGGGAAUAUUGCACAAUGGGCGCAAGCCUGAUGCAGCAACGCCGCGUGCGGGAUGACGGCCUUCGGGUUGUAAACCGCUUUCAGCAGGGACGAAGCUUUUUGUGACGGUACCUGCAGAAGAAGCACCGGCUAACUACGUG
rnacentral:rRNA from 1 species